rnacentral:rRNA from 1 species
GAUGAACGCUGGCGGCGUGCCUAAUACAUGCAAGUCGAGCGAACGGACGAGAAGCUUGCUUCUCUGAUGUUAGCGGCGGACGGGUGAGUAACACGUGGAUAACCUACCUAUAAGACUGGGAUAACUUCGGGAAACCGGAGCUAAUACCGGAUAAUAUUUUGAACCGCAUGGUUCAAAAGUAAAAGACGGUCUUGCUGUCACUUAUAGAUGGAUCCGCGCUGCAUUAGCUAGUUGGUAAGGUAACGGCUUACCAAGGCAACGAUGCAUAGCCGACCUGAGAGGGUGAUCGGCCACACUGGAACUGAGACACGGUCCAGACUCCUACGGGAGGCAGCAGUAGGGAAUCUUGCGCAAUGGGCGAAAGCCUGACGGAGCAACGCCGCGUGAGUGAUGAAGGUCUUCGGAUCGUAAAACUCUGUUAUUAGGGAAGAACAUAUGUGUAAGUAACUGUGCACAUCUUGACGGUACCUAAUCAGAAAGCCACGGCUAACUACGUG